UCAACAGUACAAAAAGUAAACUGAUGGGAAAAUUCUGACCUCACAACACAUAAGGACUAAACCCAUAGAAUGAGAAAGCCAUUUCUUUGAAAAUCUGGAAGUAGAACUUACUGGUGUCCUUUGGAACACUUAUUUUUGUUAAAGUGAUAAAAUGUGGCUCGAUGCUUCUGCUGAUGUCCGAAGGUGCUGGAUUUUGCAGUCUACUUGUUAUCUCAUCAAGUGAAGUGUCUUUGUCUAGGAUGGAGUCAGAGCGACACAGGAGCAGACAGAGCACACAGUGAUGGAAUUAAGCCCUUGGAGAAGCUGUCCACUCUAUCCCCUUCACCCAGGGGACUGGAAAGAUUCAGGAUCACUGGCCCAAAGUAAUAGCCGGUGGCUACCUCAGCAGGAUGCCGGUGUAAUGCACACAAGUUAGUGUGGCAUCACUGUGUGUCGUAUUAGAUCAUGGGUGCAUUGUUGUGCACAAUGUGCACGGUCUGAGAAGAGCUGUGAAUAAACAUCUUACAGUUCUCCGUGUUUGCAUGUUACUGCAUUUAAGCUUAGGAAUCCAUGGUGGCACAUGCACUACAGUUUAUGUUUAACUUAUACUGUAAACUUCCAUUCAUCUUUGCCGAUACAUAUCAAAACUAGCAGUGAUGUUGAUGAUAAGGAGGAAUGUUGUAAAAAUGCAGAAACAUAUUAAUGGCUAGGCGAGCAAAAAUGUGGCAAAGAGGAUUCAGUCUGGAGAAGUGGUAGGCGCAGUGGCAUAGUUAGUAGAGCUGCCACCUCACAACUCCAGGGACCCAGGUUCAAUACUCCCCUCAGUUGCUGUCUGCCUGGAGUUUGCACAUUCUCCCUGUAGCCUCAUUCUCCAGUGCUCUGGUUUCCUCCCACAUUUCAAAAAUGUGGAGCUCGUAAGUUAAUUGACCACUGCUAAUUGUCCCUAGUAUGUAGGUUAAUUGUAGAAUCUGGAAGGGGUUGAUGAGAAUGUGGGGAUAAUAAACAAAAGUGAUUGAUAUAAGAUUAGUGUAAAUGACUAUUUACACUAUGACUCCAUUGCAUUUAGGGAGGGGAAUCAAAACAAGAGAUAAAUAAUAAAUGGAGCAUACUAAGUGUUGGAAAACAGGGGGGAUUUUUUGGUGCACCUCCACAGAUCUCUGAACAUAGCACAAGUGGUAGAUUAAAUAGUUAAAUGCAUUACUUAGUGCAUGCAGUAGCAUGUAGAUAUUUUACUGAACUAGUGACCUGAGGUCUAAGCUGUUGAUCCAGAGACAUGAGUUUGAAUCUUAACAUGACAGCUGAAGAACUUAAACUCAGACAAUGACAUAACCCUGCAAUAAGAAGCAUGAUCCAGUAAUGGUAACCACAAAACAAUUGGAUUGUGGCAAAAACUCUCUUGGGUCUGACCUCUUCAGGGAAGGAUAUGGGCCAUUGUAGCCUAUAAGUGGCUCCAGACCCACAAAUAUGGUUGAAACUUAACCAAACCCUCAAUCGGGGCAGUUGGUAUUGGAAGAGAAAUGCAAGUUUUUUCCAGCGGCAGUCCCAUUCCAUGAAUGAAUACAUUAAGUACAUUAAACAAUGCUUACUUUCAUUCACUGAGGUAUAGAAACUUAGAGCAAAGAGGUCAUGCUAGAACUGUGUACAACAAGAUAAGGUCAAUAGUGUGUACUUCUGGUCACUAAAUUACAGGGAGUACUGGAUAGCAUGGCCCUUUUCGAGGUCUGCUGAGGUGGACUGGGUUGUAGACAUGAGGGAUCCAGAUAUAAAAGGGAAAUUUGCAACGAUUAUACAAAUGGCUGCCUGCUGAAUAGGAUGGCCUGCUCAGAUGCAUCAGCUGUGUAACUGAGAGUGUAGGGAUGCCUGUAGUCUCCAUGAUACAUCCCACCCAAUAUCAACAUCUGGCAAUAUGGCCACCUCCAGAGCUUUGCAGCUGGAUGCACAGCAGGAAAAGAACUUGCAUCUUCAGAUGCAAAGCAGAUUUUGGCUUAAACUGACAGAGAUUCAUGUUGAAGAUGAUGGUAGAUAUUGGUGGAGCAGAUACUGUAUUCAGGUUUUCAAUGAGCCCAUUCAAUUUGCUCUCCACUUGAUUAAUGAAUGUGAGCAACCUCAGAGGUGUGGCGGAAAUGCCACAGGAGAAGCAUUGAUGUGUGGGGCUCUUCAGGAUGGCAACACAUCUGUACUUAAUAAGAUCAUGGCUGUAACCUCAGCUCCACAUUCCAGUCCAUCCAAGGUAACCUUCUACCUCCUUGUUAAUCAAUUAUCUUUUUACCUCUCCCUUAAAAAUACCCAAGCCUUCAUCAUCUUUGAGGAACCUGUUGAGAGAAAUUUUUUGCCCCUUAAAUGGGCAAACCUCUGUUUUUAAACAGUGACCCCUCGUUCUAGGAGGGCCCAUAUGAGGAAACAUCUUUUCCACGUUCACUGUCAGGCUGAGUAAACCCUCACGUUAUUGAUGAGAAAUCCAAGUCUGAAAUACUCUUCACUGGUGCUGAUCUGACUGACUACAGAGGGUUUGCAAGAUUUCAUGUUCGCACAUUAAUUUUUAAUAUCUGUUGAUCUAUUUGUGGCAUUAUUAAUAGACUAUGAUUUAAUCUUGAUUUUGUGUUAUUUUUUCAAUAUCCUGAUUAAA